UUCCGGCGCGAUUCCGGCUUCGUCCGACGUCCGAUCGAGGCGAUUCCGGUGGCGUUGGAAAGCUUGUUCCGAGAGCUUUCUUUUGACACCAAUUUUGAAGCAAAUGGAGGUCGGAUGAGUGAGAUAUGGAGGAGAGAAGUUUCGGGUUUUUCAAGAUUUUUCGUCAGAACUACGACGAUCCGACCGUUGGAUCGACAAUCCGAGACCACAUAUGGACUGAAGAAGAGGAGAGGAACAUGGUGGUAUGAUCAGAUCCGGCAAAUGUCGCCGGUGACCGACGGCCGGCCACCGUGCGCAGUGGUGCCGGCGGUGGCUUCGGUGAGCUAUGGAGAUGGUUCAACUUCCAGAGGCUUCCUCAUAAAUUUUUGGAAUUUUUGAGACACAGAUAAACUUCAAGUGAUCGAGAUCAGCUAUUUUUCUGCGUCCAGCAGCCAAAUUAGUCAUCGGUGUACUGCCACAGGAGGAGUUAUUUUACAGAGCAACCUGUUUUCUUCCUCGCAGGUUUAACGUCAACUAUUUAAUUGUUUUACUAUCUUUUCUAAAUUAAAAAUCUAGAACUCCGCAUGUGUUAGAAAUAGUGUGGACCUUGGUAGAGGUUGUGUGAACUUAAAUUUUUAAGAUUAAUAAAUGAAGAUUUGUAUGGUAUAUAAA